rnacentral:rRNA from 1 species
GAUCUGGGAGUGCCCGAAAGGGAACCAUUACACAGGUGCUGCAUGGCUGUCGUCAGCUCGUGUCGUGAGAUGUUGGGUUAAGUCCCGCAACGAGCGCAACCCUUGUCAUUAGUUGCUACGAAAGAGCACUCUAAUGAGACUGCCGGUGACAAACCGGAGGAAGGUGGGGAUGACGUCAAGUCCUCAUGGCCCUUAUGGGUAGGGCUUCACACGUCAUACAAUGGUACAUACAGAGGGCCGCCGACCCGCGAGGGGGAGCUAAUCCCAGAAAGUGUAUCGUAGUCCGGAUUGUAGUCUGCAACUCGACUACAUGAAGUUGGAAUCGCUAGUAAUCGCGGAUCAGCAUGUCGCGGUGAAUACGUUCCCGGGUCUUGUACACACCGCCCGUCACACCAUGGGAGCGGGUUUUACCAGAAGUAGGUAGCUUAACCGCAAGGAGGGCGCUUACCA